CGGCUAAUUUAUUCAUUAGACUAAUUAGACUUUAUCUUGAACAACUCAAGAAAUAUAUAAACUGGUGAACAGCAUAUGUGUUCGCUAUCAAUAUGGCUGGAGUGCGGAGAGUCGAAUAUC